AUCCUACACUUUUUGUCGUAUUCUCGUUGCACUUCUGUUCAUUUCCAAAUAACCCUUUCUAAUGAAUGAAGGCACCUAUUUCUUGUUUGUGGAAGUGCAACUCUUGUUUGUUUUGACCUUUUUAUAGAUUGGCCAUGAGAUGGUUGUGACCCAAAAUUCAUGCCAAGAUGUCAUGUUCUCAAUUGAAGAUUCUAACUUGCUAGAAAAAUCUCUGAUGGUUGUAGCCUUUGUAAGAGAGACUUGGGAUUUUAAAGAUAAAAGAUGUUCAAGGGAUACUUUGGAAGGGUUUCUCUCGUCUUUGUUCAAAAUGACUUAUGUCCUUCAUCAUCCUGCCCAUAUACAACAAUCAAAUUGGUGGUUCAGAUAGUACAACCUCUUGCCACUUUAGAUACGGCCUAGGAGUCUAUUCAUCAAAUCAUUAGUCCUUGCUUUAAGCCUUUAUUAUGCCAAGUCUCGAUUCUACUGGCAGUGACUCGGUCUGUUCUUUGCCUUGGGCUCUAGUCUGAAUGGAGUGAAGCGAGGGUAUAGGAUAGAAGGUGGUGAAGGAAUGGACCCUCCUUAAA
rnacentral:lncRNA from 1 species